rnacentral:rRNA from 1 species
GUGAGGAAUAUUGGUCAAUGGAGGCAACUCUGAACCAGCCAAGUCGCGUGAAGGAUGAAGGUCUUAUGGAUUGUAAACUUCUUUUUCAAGGGAAUAAAGUGGGGGACGUGUCCUCCUUUGCAUGUACCUUGCGAAUAAGGAUCGGCUAACUCCGUGCCAGCAGCCGCGGUAAUACGGAGGAUCCGAGCGUUAUCCGGAUUUAUUGGGGUUAAAGGGUGCGCAGGCGGGAUGUUAAGUCGGCGGUGAAAUUUUGCAGCUCAACUGUAAAAGUGCCUUCGAUACUGGCUUUCUUGAGUGUGGAUGAAGUAGGCGGAAUUUGUGGUGUAGCGGUGAAAUGCUUAGAUAUCACGAGGAACUCCGAUUGCGCAGGCAGCUUACUAAACCACUACUGACGCUCAUGCACGAAGGCGUGGGGAUCAAACAGGAUUAGAAACCCGUGUAGUCC